rnacentral:misc_RNA from 1 species
GAUGAAGAACGUAGCGAAAUGCGAUAAGUAAUGUGAAUUGCAGAAUUCAGUGAAUCAUCGAAUCUUUGAACGCACCUUGCGCCCUUUGGCUAUUCCGAAGGGCAUGCCUGUUUGAGUAUCGUGAACACCUCAACUCUCAUGGUUUGCCAUGAUGAGCUUGGACUUUGGGGGUUUUGCUGGCUCACAGUCGGCUCCUCUAAAAUGAAUCAGCUUACCAGUGUUUGGUGGGUAUCAUGGGUGUGAUAACUAUCUACGCUUGUGGUUUUUCCACCAGGUAACCUUCAGCAGUGGAGGUUCGCUGGAGCUCAUAGAUGUCUCUCCUCAGUGAGGACAGCCCUUUGAAUGUUUGAUCUCAAAUCAGGUAGGACUACCCGCUGAACUUAAGCAUAUCAAUAAGCGGAGGA